UACGAAGGGGGCUAGCGUUGCUCGGAAUUACUGGGCGUAAAGCGCACGUAGGCGGAUUUUUAAGUCAGGGGUGAAAUCCUGGAGCUCAACUCCAGAACUGCCUUUGAUACUGGGAAUCUCGAGUCCGGAAGAGGUGAGUGGAAUUCCUAGUGUAGAGGUGAAAUUCGUAGAUAUUAGGAAGAACACCAGUGGCGAAGGCGGCUCACUGGUCCGGUACUGACGCUGAGGUGCGAAAGCGUGGGGAGCAAACAGGAU
rnacentral:rRNA from 1 species